ACCUUGCUUCUGGGAUUACACCAACUGGCAUGUUGCUUCCAAAAUCGGCUGUCUGUCCUCAGUGCCGACCCAGCAAAGGGAUCAGCACUGCGUUCUAAGAACGAAUCCAAGAAUCGCAAAGGCAAGGAAGGCACUAAAAGAUAUGCUGGGACAGAACCAUGGGAACAGGUCAAGACCAAAGAUUAUGGAUGUCACAGGGGGUCUCUACUUACCUAAAGGCCUGAGGACCUGACACCUGGCAGGUGCUCAGCGCAUAUCUGCUGACUAAGUGAAUGAAGCAAAACGAGGAAGCAGAGAAGGGAAGAGAAAAAAGGGAAGAGAGAGAACUGCUUUUGAAGGGGCAGGGUGGGGUGUCCAUGGCAAUGGUGUCAUAGGUUUUAGUGACAUCAUCUAUUUCUACCAAGAAGUUUCAUGACAUAGCCGUCUUUUCCUUCUUGUAAACCGCAGGAAUUACACACCUUGGGUUUUCUUGAGCAAUGAAUAAGCAGACAAUGAAAUCCCGGGCAAGGUAACAAAGGAAGUGGCGUAACCCCUUGCAGUUUUAUGCCAUUUUACAGUUUUUAAAAAAUGGUCAUAUGACUCUCGUAUCAAUUCUGGGAGGCAGGCAGGACCAGUAUUACUGUUACUCUCAUUUUACACAGGAGGAAGCUGCGACUGUGGGAUAUGACUUGCCAAUGUCAAGCGUUUAUCAAGUGGUGAAGACAGAGCCAGAGACCAUGCCUUCAGACUCCUCACUGAGGGCUGACUUGGGUCCACUCAGCAUGGUGCACAAAGCUAGCAUCUUGCCUGACAGCUGAUGAAGAGGGACUCAAGCGUGCAGAAUUAUUAGCCUCUAGCUCAAACAAAUUAAAAUCUAGGCAAAAUGUAAUUUUAUAAUGUGCCUGAUUUAUUCUCCAUAGGUACCAUAAAUAGAACUACUGCUCAAGGGCAGCUUCUUUGAAACAAACACAAGUACAAGCUACAAACGGGCACUAGAAACCCAGUCCAGUUAACAAAGACCCACAAAUUGUGAUUGCUUUAGCUUUUCUACCCGGCUUCAUGUAUAAUCUCCUGCCAACAUCAGUGGGACACUGAACUCCUGUCGGAAAUACCUCUUUGACUGAUGUCAUCAGUUAAAUGAAAAUUAAGCAAUCAAUAUUUUUUCCUACAGCUUUAAGGAAUAACUGACAUAAAAUAAAUGGCACAUUUUUAAAGUGUACGUCAGUGGCUUUUGACAUAUGUAUACACUACACUUGAGAAACUAUCAUCACAAUUAAGAUAACAAACGUAUUCAUCACCCCUCAAAGUCUCCUCUUGCACUUUGUAAUCUCUCCCUCCUGCAACUACAUCACCCCUACCCCCAGGCAACCACUGAUCUGCUUUCUGUCAUCGUAGACUCGUUUGCAUUCUCUACAAUUUUAUAUAAAUGGAAUCAAACAGUAUGUAAUCGUCUGUGUCUAGUUUUUUUUUUUCCCCUCUCAGAAGGAUUACUUUGAGAUUCAUCCAUUGUUGGAUGUUUCAACAGUACAUUCAUUUUUACUGCUGAGUAAUAUUCCACUGUAUAGGUAUACCACAGUGUAUUUAUCUAAUCACCUGUUAAUGGACAUGUGAGUUGU